ensembl:lncRNA
GGAUGGAAGAGGGCGAGGCCCCCCUCUGGUUCUGGCUCCAGGCGAGGCUUACUGUCGGGGGUCCCCACCCUGAACCCCUGCCUCUUCACCAGCUAUCCUAAGGAAGGGUCGCUGUGGAGUUCGGGAGGCGGAAGGGUCAUGCCUGCGGGUGGGACUCCAGGCACCGAGGAAGGUGGAAGAGAAUAGUGUCUACCACUCUUUUGCAUCUUAAAAAUUCUGUUUCCCAUCAAAUUCUCACAGUCCAGUCUCUGGAAUUAGAGAUAAUUUCAAGUCACAGGUCCCCACUCAGCCCUGGUGUAACCUUGGCAGGCGUGGAUGGAUCUCACUUCAUCUGCAAAAAGUGGGUAACACCGACCCUGUGUGUUGUGGGAAAGACAAAAAAAUAAUGUACGGAAGAUAAGAAGCACACCCAUGAUAGCUAUAUUACGGAUAAUCAAGAAAAUGGGGGAGAUUGGAUUUCUCAAGCAUGGGCAGCUGGUAAAUAAUGGUGACACCAAGACCCCGUCCUCAACCCAAGCCUUCAACUUCUCAACCAAAGGCCCUUCACUCCCCCCAGAACAUUCUAUGGCCAUACGCCGGCCCUCCCAGGCAAAGCUUCCCCACCCGGUUCACACAGAGAGCAGCAGGGGCCGCUUCUGACUCGGCCCCCACCGAGGGGGAAGCCCGCACGCUGCACAGCUGCACACAUCUGGAACCUCGCCGGCUGGAGCCCCGAGGGGCGCGCAGGGCUCUCCAGAACCUGUGCGCCCGAAGAUACCAGAGCGGCCACAGGCCUCUCCGCCCUGCCGCGGCCCUUCGGCUCCCGCCCGCGCGCCCAGGAGCACUGAGCCCAAGCUCAGGGUGGACCCCUGGGCGCCAGGCACGGGCUCGGUGGGGCAGCCCCCUGCGCGCGUCCCUGUAGGGAGCGGCGGCGCGCGCAGGGAGCCCCCGGCGCGCACACGCCCGCAAACCCUGGUCAUGUAUGGAUGUGAGAGUUGGACCAUAAAGAAAGCUGAGCACCAAAGAAUAGAUGCUUUAGAGUAGGUGUUGGAGAAGACUCUUGAGAGUCCCUUGGACUGCAAGGAGGUCCAACCAGUCCAUCCUAAAGGAAAUCAGUCCUGAAUAUUCACUGGAAGGAUUGAUGCUGAAGCUGAAACUCCAAUACUCUGGCCUCCUGAUGCGAAGAACUGACUCACUGGGAAAGACCCUGAUUCUGGGAAAGAUUGAAGGUAGGAGGAGAAGGGGAUGACAGAGGGUGAGAUGGUUGGAUGGCGUCACCGACAAGAUGGACAUGAGUUUGAGUAAGCUCUGGGAGUUGGUGAUGGACAGGGAAGCCUGGUGUGCUGUGGUCCAUAGGGUCUCAAAGAGUUGGACACAACUGAGCGACUGAACUGAACUGAUACUUUACAUUUAAAAACUGAAAGAGUGUAAAAUAUUUUUCUAAAAAUAUGGCUUGAUUAUUUUGGUAGGACAGCAUGUAACCUUCACUGUGAAAUUUUGCUCUCACGUUACUGUAUUAUACACACUAUUUCUAAUACUACAUGUAAACGCUGUACUGAGCAAGCUGAUGUCUAUACACUGAUUUCAGUGUUUUUUCAGUGAUUUUUUCCCUAUACACCAAUGUAAUUUAUAAUGUGUUUAUCUGAAUGCUUUAUACAGACAGCGCAAGUUCCAGUGAUACCUCUAUAAAUUAUAAUUGGUAUAAUUUAUACCAAUUUAUAAAUAAUAAAUUAUAUAAAGUAUGAUUUUAAUUGUAAUACAAUUAAAUUAUUUUUCUAUUUAAAAAUUAAGAAUGGACAAGUUUUUAAUUCAAAGUGAAGGCAUUGUACUGAUGCAGAAUUGCAUACAGGUGCAAAAGCUGGUGAGAACACUAAAAAGAAUGAUUGGUAAAGGUAUGUUGUAAAUUUCACAAUGAAUGACAGCUGUAAUUUGCUGACAUGGAGCAAAAUGAGAAAGAUAGUCGUAUAAAAAUCUUUGGAGAUAAUAAAGUACACAAUGUUAAGAGACUUUUCAGAAAACACAUACUGAAUUUGAUUUAUUUCCUCCAGUGUUUGAAAAAGAAUUGUUGAAAUUAGUUACCUGAAAUCAUGAUUAAACAUCUAAGUUUUUCGUGUUUUGUAGACAAUUUAUCUUCACUUUCUCUUUUACAGCUUUAUUGAGAUAUAAUUGAAAUACAAAAACCUGCACAUAUUUGACGUAUUCAAUUUGUUGAGUUUUUACAUACGUUAUAUAUACCUGUGAUACCAUCACCACAUUCAAGGUAAUAAACAUGUCUGUCGCCUCCGGAAGUUUCUUUCUGUCCCGUGUGUGUGUGUGUGUGUGUGUGUGUGUGUGUGUAUGUGUGUGUGUGUGUGAACACUUAACAUGAGAUCUUCCUUUUAACAAAAUUUUAAGUGCACAAUACCAUAUUAUUAGCUACAGGUAUGUUGUAUAGCGUAUUUCUACAACUUGGCUGUCUUCUAUGACUAUAAAUUUAUACAAGUUGAGUAGCAACUGCCCACUUUUCUCUCCCUCCACUCACUGGCAACCAACAUUCUAUUUUCUACUUCUGUAAGUUUGAUUAGUUUAGAUAACUCAUUUAAGUAGAAUCAUGCAGUAUUUGCCCUUCUAUGACUCACUUACUUAGCAUGGUGUCUUCCAGAUCCAUCCAUGUCAUCCCAAAUUCUUAAGACUUUUAAUAAGAUUUGAGCUUGUCAUUUUGGCCAGAUACAAAAUUGCUUUCAUUUUCACAUUUUUAGAUGGAGAGAUGGUAAAAGAAACUAUUAUCUCAGUUACAGAAAUUUUUGUUGGAAAAUUGAGAAAAAUACUAAAGAAGAUAUUUCACAAAAGUAAGAACUUCAGUUAAGCCACCACAACUAUUGUUUAUAAAAUACAAGAUCUUCUUAACAAUACCAAGAUCAACUGAUUCAAAAUCUGAAAAAUUGUAAAAAAAUUUCACCUGUCUAUCUAGGUCAUGGACAAGCUUUUCCUUCUCUUGGGUUGCCUUUAAAUGAGUCACAAGAUAUAAAAGACACUGUACAAUUAGUACUCUGGGUAUGUUUUGUCUCCAAAGAUUUCUUGGUUUACAAAGAAAUAUUUUCCAUUCAUAGUCCUAAAAUAGCAAACUGACGGUAUAGAUAUUUUUAACAUAUUUUACAUCUGUCAAAGAAGAAUAUUGGCUCGAUAUUAAAAAAUUAGUUUCUAACACAACAAACAAUUUUCAGCCGUAUUAGGCCAAAACAAACCAGUUUAUUGGAAUUUUUUAAAAGGAACUGAUGUUUCCUUUAAGCCUUUGUUUCACUGUAUGAUACAUCUUACAAAUAUUUAUGCUUAGUUGAAGCAGACACCAUGAAAUUUGUCAUGGAUAUAGUUGUUAAAAUCAUUCAGUGUUUGUACGCUAAUCUAAUGAACCAUUGCAAGUGAAUAGAACUGUUGAAAGAAAUAAAAGAUGGUGAGUUUAACGGCCUUGUGACUUCUUUGCCAAUGCUCUUCCGGUUGAGUUGUGAGAGUUUUGCAAGGAUUUGCUGUACCCUUAACUCUAAUUUAAGAUUUUCUUGAAAAUAAAGGAAUAUUUGCCCAAUAACCAAAAUUCAAAAAAAAAAAAAUAUGGCAAUGUGAUUUACAUUUUCAGACUGCAUAUGAAUGAGCUAAAUUUGAAGACAUAAGAAAAGGAAAAGCUUAUCUGUGACCUAGCUAGAGAGACACAGGAUUUUAAGUUGAAGUUGAAACUUUUCAUUAUAUGAUCAAUUAAUAAUGAUUUUACAGUUUUCUUAUAUGAACAAAUAUGAAAACAAUUUUUCAUUGUGAUUGAUAGUAUUUAGGUAAACUGACUGUAUAAGCUACAAGAAAUAUGUGAAGAACUCAACACUAAUAAAGAAUUGUUUUUCAAUCUGUCAAUACCAUUUUGAGUUCACUGUUUAUAUUACUGAGCUAACACAAGAGUUAAUGAAUUUACUUAGCUUUGACAUGAAUCUGAAAUUGGUAUCUUUGGUUUUGAAGUCAAAGCAAUUAUUUUUAAAAAGAUACACCAGUCUUGUCCAUGUGGAUGCAGUAUUAAAGGAGAAUGAUUUUUCAGUUAUGGGGAAAAUGUAAAUAUAUUUAGAACACCUUAAGUACGUGAAUAUACUUAUCCAACUAUGAAUUACAUAAAAUUGCAAAUACUUCACCUAUUCCUCAUAAAAACUUAGCAUCCAAAUAUGGUGUGCUAUAAGUCUAAAGUACACUUAGUAAGAAUAAAACAGCCUAAAAUAUCUCAAUAUGUUUAUAUUGAUUAUAUGAUUGAAUAUAUCAUGUUAUGUAAAGCAUAUUAUUAAAAUUACUUUGCUUAUUUAUUUUUACCUUUUUAAUAUGGCUAUAAGAAAGUUUUAAAUUGCAUAGGUAGCUUAUAAUAUAUUUCUAUCAGACAGCGCUGGUCUGGGGGAGUCUGCAAACUGUCUCCUCAGUAAAGACUGCACUGAGUUGCCUCAAAGAACAAGGAGGGGAGGAAGUAGCCUGGACAAACGACAGGUCCCCUGACAACUGGGAGAAUUUUUUGCCCUGUUGGGUAUAUAAUAUUUGUCAGUGCUUCCCAUUGUCUUUCUGCUCUUUCCUCUUCCAACCACAAAAAGAAAAGAAAGAGGAAGGUCCCUUCUAGAAGCUUAAAGCCAGAUUUCCUCUGGAAAUCUAGCUGGCCAGUUAAAAUACGUCAGAGUCUAUUCAGAGAACCAAGGAGUGAAACAGAAUGCCCUUUCUCUAGUAAGGCCAAGAAAAUAACUACAGGCUUUUUGAGCCCAGAUCUAUCAGAAGCCCAAAAGCAGAGAAACGGAGAGACUCUGAGCUUCUCAGAACAUUGGAAGAGCUAAGACUCUUUAACACUGGAAAUUUCAUCUAAGAAGUUAAAAGGUUGUUUUUGCAAAGUAAGAAAAGUGGGGUUAGGUGAAGAAGUGAUUAGGGCUAAAAUCGAGUUCAAUGGGAGAAGGAUAUUUAAUUUGCCCUUGUGUAUUUUUUCUUUCUCUCUGUAUUUCCCUAAACUAUACAAGAAUCAUACACAAUGAUUAGUUAUGACCUAAUGAUUCAUACCCUUGUUUUAACAAUCAUAUUUUGGAAGAAUAUCAGUAUAAAUGAUCAGAUCGUUUGGUACUUUGGCAUGGUUAGGGAAAGGUUUUGUUUGUUUGGGGAGGUAGGGUGCAAUGGAGAAAUAACCCAUUUACCUGAUGGCAGAUACAUAGAACUUGGACAUGGAAACUGGGAGGAAAUGAACAAUUGCUGAGCAAGCUUACACACUCAGCCAUGGUGCUCUGUCUGUGUCAUAACCAGCUUUCUGCCUGGCACAGUGCCUGCCACCACGUAGGCGGCCAGCAUCACUUGCUGGAUUGAAUUAUAAAAAUGAGAUCAUUUCCACCAAGAGUUUUGUUGUCUAAUCAGAAGACAGAAUGCAAACCAUGAAAAAUUAAAUAAAUACAGUUGUUUUUAUUUUUGUGUAUUUUUGUACUGUGUUUGAAUUUGUUUUGUUAAUUAUAAAAACCUUUUUAUUGUUUGCUUGGGUUUUUUUUAAGAAAAGACAAUGGGUACACAGGAUACAAUAUAGAUAUUGCUUUUACUACCUGGAUCCUCACUCUGCAAACAUUCCCUGUAAUGACUUGGAACCAUUUUUACCCCACAUACAUUACCCUAAUUGAAAACCUGCUGUAAAGUAUUUGCAUGCUGGGACCAGUAAAAACUCAUCGUUUGAACGCAAGUCUGGACAAGAGGACGCAGGAUGCCCUGCAGUCUGUCUUAGCUAUUUCCCCGGCAAGACGGCUUCUCUCCUGCUUGCGCCGUUGAUUGCGUUGUUUAAACUUGUGUGUUAUCGCUGUAUCUUCCCCACAUUGUUCAGUGAAAACGCCUUCUAAGAAAGUGGAAAAGCCUGUGAACCAAGUACACGAACCAAAGAGACCUAGAAAAACCCAAAUCACUAAAAAGAUAGUUGAGAGCGGAAAAGCACUUUGAGAGAAGACAACGGAUAGAAAAUAAGCAGGUAGCAAUGAUAACAUAAUGUGUAUUGGCUAUUGAACAACAGGGUUGCACAGCGUUUAUCUGUACUCGCUAAUGAGUUCAUUAAAUGCAACUGUCAUUUUCAAUCCUUUAUCUUUAUAGCUCAGGAAUCCCCCAUGGAUUGUUACAGAGGUUUCUAAGAGGGCUUUAAUGGUAAAUGGGGGGCUGGUGGAAUUGGCUGGGGUUUUAAGAAAUGCUUUUUUAUUUUUCUCACUUAAAAUCAUGAAAUAUGAGCUCAAGCUAUUUGAAAUUUUAAUAUCCAAUAUAUUUUCAGGAAUAAAUUGGGUAAUAAAACAAGAUGCCUGAGGUCACAAAGUGAAAACAGAAUCAGGUGGUGUCACGAACAAAUCUGCAUUAUAGUUCUCAUGCCUAGAACAGUCUUGUAAAGUACAAAGAACUUAACAUUUUUAUGUUACUUAGAGAUAUUUGGCAAAUAGAUGACUCUAGAUGAUUUCCAAACAGAACUUCAAAGCAGUCCUGUGAUGUUGAAAUAAAGUUGGAAUCCUAAAUAAAAAUUUUAAAAUCCCAAAUCUUAAAUACAUUUGAAAUUUUUGAUAUCUUUAUAAGAUCUUCUCUCCUUAAAAAAGAAAAAAAAAAUUGAUUGUGGAAGCCAUAGCUGGUCUAUGACCACCGUGGCUGUUCCUAGCUGG